GAUGAACGCUGGCGGCGUGCCUAAUACAUGCAAGUCGAGCGAACAGACGAGGAGCUUGCUCCUCUGACGUUAGCGGCGGACGGGUGAGUAACACGUGGAUAACCUACCUAUAAGACUGGGAUAACUCGGGGAAACGGGGGCUAUUACGGGAUAAUUUAUUAACCGGCAUGUUUAAAUGGUAAAAACGGUUUUUGCUUUCCCUUAUAGAUGAAUCCGCGCGGCAUUAGCUAGUUGGUAAGGUAACGGCUUACCAAGGCAACGAUGCGUAGCCGACCUGAGAGGGUGAUCGGCCACACUGGAACUGAGACACGGUCCAGACUCCUACGGGAGGCAGCAGUAGGGAAUCUUCCGCAAUGGGCGAAAGCCUGACGGAGCAACGCCGCGUGAGUGAUGAAGGUCUUCGGAUCGUAAAACUCUGUUAUUAGGGAAGAACAAAUGUGUAAGUAACUAUGCACGUCUUGACGGUACCUAAUCAGAAAGCCACGGCUAACUACGUG
rnacentral:rRNA from 1 species